CAGGGAGCUCCUGGCCCAGGGAGAAGGAGGCCCUGGGAAAGGGACAGCAUGAGGGACAAGAGCUUACUGCUCUCUGAAGGGGACCCGCACAAGAACACGAGUUGAUAGGAUCUCCAAACAGCACGAGGGAUGGAGCUCCCCUCCCUCCAACCCCACAGGGCAGUGGACAGAAUCCCAGGAAAUAGCCCAGGAGAAAGAUUCAGAAGCUGGGGCCCACGCCAGACCUCAGGAGAGAGAAGGUCCUGAGUAGGGUGGGUUGUAUGUGUAGAAAAGAGGGCACAGAGGAAUCAUCAGACACCCCAGCAAGAAAACAGUAUGGAAUACUGGCGCCGGCGGGGCUCCAAACCCAAAGGAGGAGAAUAUGGGAGGUGCAGAGGAGAGGCGGUAGGCCCCGCGGCCACUUAGAAGGCGGAAGCGUGUCCGGGCUGAGAUGAGAAUCCGCAAGGACUGACAGGUUGGGACCAGGCGGCGGCCAGGGAGCUGGGAGCCGGCAGGUUGAAUCUCAAACCUCCAUCGGUCUGGAUAGAGAGACUCUAAGCAUGAGGCUGCUCCGGUUUUCCUCACUGCCCAGCGCCGGCGGUCCAGCGUGGGUGUGGAGAUGCACAGGAAACGGGGGACUCUGAGUCACCCACAUUUUUGAGGGGUGGGGAGGAGCUGGACCUUCCUCACAGAGCUGAGAGAUCGGGGGAGUUAGAGCCAGGCCUGGCUGGAGGGUCGGACGUCUGAGUUGCGUGUGCCAUCAGCAGGGGGGCGUGGCCAGGAGAACAGAGAUAAGCAGAAACCCGCCCAUUUGGUGGCCUAGGGAGGGGGCCGCGGGGCGGGGCCCCCUGUGGCCAGCAGAGGGCGCGCGGGAGGCGGGCCGGCCCUGGAGAGGGCUCCCGCGAGGGCGGCGGCGAGGUGGCGGCGCGGGCCCGGGCGCCCUCUGCCGGGCCGGCCCCGGAAGCCCGGACUCGCCGCUUCCGCAGCGGAGUCUCCCCUCCCGCUCUCCCGCCGCGCGCGCUGGGCUGCGCUCAGAAUCCCCCAGGGAACGGGGGUCCAGCCCUGGAGAAGCCGUCUAGGUCUGGGACAGCCAGUUCUGGGGCCACCCGUCGCAUUGUUGGGCUCCCUCUCCGGCUUCUCGGACCGUUGGCUCUCCAGCUUUUGCUCGAUCUCCUCCGGGGACCCCCCAGCACCCUCAACAUGCAUGUACCUCCUUUCAACCGAACAGGACAGGAGUGCGGCCCCAUUUCACAGAGGGUCACCCAGGGGAAACAGAGGAGCGAGAGGACUCCGGCCCGGCUGGCGCAGGCAGGGCAAGGUUCCCGAAGGAGCCCUCGGAACAGGAAUAGGGGUCUGACUCCAACGGGGAAGUCCUUCCUGGUGUCUGACCACCAUUCCUCCUGCUGCAACUUCAGCUAAACCUUACAAGUUCUGUCCUCAGCGGAGCAAGACCUCCCCGGCCGUACCAGUAUCCAAGUACCACGCGCCUGGGCGCGUAGAUGGACUCAGUUUCCUCGGUGGGAAGUUGCACUGCCUCUGUGGUGCCCCUCUGUUUAUGGGAGUUCUGCUCCACCGCACCUAGGUCAUCUCACCCAUCCCCCAGCUUCUGAACAGGAUGCCGCCACAUUCUGUCAUUGAUCUCAAAACUAUUUGAGCGCCUACUAUGCCUCCGGUCCGAGUUCCUCGCCUCAACUCCCAGCCCCUCCGGCGGCUCCCUAGGCUUAGAGGAAGGAGCGGGAGAUCCAGGAGUACCGAUCUCCAGUCCAGGGCGCAGGGUAAGAGAGCUGAAGGUCGUCGGUGACUGGGUGAAGCCACUGGGGUAGGGCGGGGGUGGGCAGACGCCGGCGGGUCUGGGUGCUCAGGGGCCGCAGAAAGGACACUGCGCCACGCGCCGCUGCCUCCCAGCGCUCGAGCCCAGCGCGGGAUUUCCCAUUCUUAGCGCAAGGAAGACCCCUUGUGGCUGUUGUGAGAAGAGCCGGCGAAGAAAGGAGGCCAGAGCCGGGAGAUGACAGUCCCCUGCCCAGCCUCCCUGCUAUCCUGCCUGGGGUAGGGACUUGUUCCCUAGGGGGCCUUCGUGGCUCGCUAUGCCCAGAAAUCCUCCACCCAUUCCCAUACCAUCAAAACCCAACAACUGGGACUUCGGGAAUAGAGUCUUCUCGCCAAAUCACAAGGAAAAAUAAAACACAAACAGUAGCAAGUGAGACUGUGGUUAGACUCCUGGAAGGACUUCUCUCGAAGCGGCUGGGAAGCAGGAGGAUGGAUUGCGAUGAAGGGAUGAAAGAAGACAGGCUUUCCGACCCUCCCCUUCCCUGGCAGUGGGGAGAGCGUUCUCCGAGUUCUCCGAGGAAUCCUCAGCCCCUGCCCUGCGGCUCCUUCCCGCUCACAGCGAAGGAAGCUCUCCCCAGCCGGGGGCUCAGGUAGUGUCAGCGCCAGGGGCCGUCCCUCUGCCCACCCUUAGGAGGGAUGGGGGGUGCGCAAGGUCAUCGAGGACAGGGACGGGACCCCACGUUCGUCACGAUAGACCGUUGCACUCCUGAGAAGAUGCAUCCCACCCCCACCCGCGUCUGAGCUCCUUUGGGGAGCGGAAGCGCGCUAACAGUGCUGCGCCCCUUCCCCCACCCUUUGACGCUGCUAGCUACCAAGCCCCGGCCCGGGCAAUGCAAAUUUGCAUACAUUUGCAUCCCCAGCUGCGCACAGCUGCAUCCGGCUUUGGGCCAUAAAUUCGUGGCGGGAGGCUCCGGGCGAGCGGGUCCCGCGCCGCCGCCGCGCCUGUUCGCGCCCCGGGGGCCGCGGGUUCUCACGCCUCCCUGAGCAGCCGCCGGCGCUGUCCGGCCCUGCCCCGCCUCGCGCCACCUUCUGGGCGUCUGUCUGCCUCGCAUGCCGCAGCUGCAGCUGCAGCCGCAGGCCAGGCCUGAACCCCCAGAUCCCCCUUUCUCCAUCUCUCCUGGACUCGACCGGGUCAUUGUCUCCUAAAUCUAUUCACGUCUCUCUGACGCCUCGGGCCGGGGGCUUCUGGUCAGAUUUUCGUGCCAGGACUAGUGGUAGCCUUCUAGGUGGCAGUCCUGCCUCCGUGGGUACCUUGCUAGAAAACAGGUCUGAUCAUGGUCAACAGCUUAAAACACUGCAGACCCCCUAGGCUUGCAGAAUAAAGCUUAUAUUGUUCACUCUCGCCAAGAAAAGCCCCUCACGUUCUGCCGCAUUCCUCCUUUCUUUAUCUUCAGUUUUGUCUCCUGCAUCGUAGCCAGACCCAGGCCCACAACAGCCUGUGCUUCAGUUACACAAAAUUGCAGGCGAGUCAUCAGACUCCCCGUGAGCUCUCUCCCUCUGCCUGCCCUUUACCUGCGCCUCGUCUCCACCUGGACCACCCCUCCCUCUUGUCUGUCC
ensembl:lncRNA